rnacentral:rRNA from 1 species
UACGGGGGGGGCGAGCGUUGUCCGGAUUUACUGGGCGUAAAGCGCGUGUAGGCGGCGAUUUAAGUCCGGGGUGAAAGGCGGGGGCUCAACCCCCGAGCGGCAACGGAAACUGGAUCGCUUGAGUGUCGGAGAGGGGAGUGGAAUUCUCGGUGUAGCGGUGAAAUGCGCAGAUAUCAGGAGGAACACCUAUUGCGAAGGCAGCUCGCUGGGACGUAACUGACGCUGAGACGCGAAAGCGUGGGGAGCAAACAGG